AGCUCAGCAACUCCUUACACUACAUCCUCGCGGUAUUGGUCGGGGUACGACCAACCUUAUCGAAGAUCGGGUAACCAAGCCUGGUGGGAACUUUGGUCUUAUUCUGACAGGGAAGG
rnacentral:ribozyme from 1 species